GUAGUCAUAUGCUUGUCUCAAAGAUUAAGCCAUGCAUGUCUAAGUAUAAGCAAUUAUACCGCGAAACUGCGAAUGGCUCAUUAUAUAAGUUAUCGUUUAUUUGAUAGUACCUUACUACUUGGAUAACCGUGGUAAUUCUAGAGCUAAUACAUGCUAAAAAUCCCGACUUCGGAAGGGAUGUAUUUAUUAGAUUAAAAGCCAAUGCCCUCUGGGCUCUCUGGUGAUUCAUGAUAACUUCUCGAAUCGCAUGGCCUUGCGCCGGCGAUGGUUCAUUCAAAUUUCUUCCCUAUCAACUUUCGAUGUUUGGGUAUUGGCCAAACAUGGUUGCAACGGGUAACGGAGGGUUAGGGCUCGACCCCGGAGAAGGAGCCUGAGAAACGGCCACUACAUCCAAGGAAGGCAGCAGGCGCGCAAAUUACCCAAUCCCGACACGGGGAGGUAGUGACAAUAAAUACUGAUACAGGGCUCUUUUGGGUCUUGUAAUUGGAAUGAGUACAAUUUAAAUCCCUUAACGAGGAACAAUUGGGGGGCAAGUCUGGUGCCAGCAGCC
rnacentral:rRNA from 1 species